rnacentral:rRNA from 1 species
CCAGGGAAACUUGGUCUAAGUAUCCCCAUAGUAUUUAGUAGGUGGCAUCAACCCUAAAUUAAAAGCCUUUCGGUGGUAAUAGGGAAUUUGGCCUACGCGUGACAUUAGGCUGGAUGGUGGGGUAACGGCUUCACCAUGGCGACUGAUGUCUAGGGGUUCUGAGAGGAAGACCCCCCACACUGGGACUGAGACACGGCCCAGACUCCUACGGGAGGCAGCAGUGAGGAUAUUGGACAAUGGAUGGAAAUCUGAUCCAGCCCAUGCCGCGUGCAGGAAGACGGCCCUAUGGGUUGUAAACUGCUUUUAUAUGGGAGCAAUAAGGUUUACGCGUAGACCGAUGAGAGUACCAUAUGAAUAAGCAUCGGCUAACUCCGUG